rnacentral:rRNA from 1 species
AUAUCAAUAAGCGGAGGAAAAGAAACCAACAGGGAUUGCCUCAGUAACGGCGAGUGAAGCGGCAAGAGCUCAAAUUUGAAAUCUGGCUCCUUCGGGGCCCGAGUUGUAAUUUGGAGAGGAUGCUUCGGGCGUGGCCCCUAUCUAAGUGCCCUGGAACGGGCCGUCAUAGAGGGUGAGAAUCCCGUCUGGGAUGGGUGGUCCCGCCCGUGUGAAGCUCCUUCGAAGAGUCGAGUUGUUUGGGAAUGCAGCUCUAAGAGGGUGGUAAAUUUCAUCUAAAGCUAAAUAUUGGCCGGAGACCGAUAGCGCACAAGUAGAGUGAUCGAAAGAUGAAAAGCACUUUGAAAAGAGAGUUAAACAGCACGUGAAAUUGUUGAAAGGGAAGCGUUGGCAACCAGACUCGCCCGGGAGGGCUCAGCCGGCACGUGUGCCGGUGCACUCCCCCCCGGGCGGGCCAGCGUCGGUUUGGGCGGUCGGUCAAAGGCCCCGGGAACGUAGCACCCUCCGGGGUGCCUUAUAGCCCGAGGCGCCAUGCGACCUGCCCGGACCGAGGAACGCGCUCCGGCUCGGACGCUGGCGUAAUGGUUGUCAACGGCCCGUCUUGAAACACGGACCAAGGAGUCUAACAUCUAUGCGAGUGUUCGGGUGUCAAACCCGUCCGCGCAGUGAAAGCGAACGGAGGUGGGAACCCCUUUCGGGGUGCACCAUCGACCGAUCCUGAUGUCUUCGGAUGGAUUUGAGUAAGAGCAUAGCUGUUGGGACCCGAAAGAUGGUGAACUAUGCCUGAAUAGGGCGAAGCCAGAGGAAACUCUGGUGGAGGCUCGCAGCGGUUCUGACGUGCAAAUCGAUCGUCAAAUUUGGGUAUAGGGGCGAAAGACUAAUCGAACCAUCUGGUAGCUGGUUCCUGCCGAAGUUUCCCUCAGGAUAGCAGUAACGACAUCAGUUUUAUGAGGUAAAGCGAAUGAUUAGAGGCCUUGGGGUUGAAACAACCUUAACCUAUUCUCAAACUUUAAAUAUGUAAGAAGCCCUUGUUUCUUAGUUGAACGUGGGCAUUAGAAUGAAGCGUUACUAGUGGGCCAUUUUUGGUAAGCAGAACUGGCGAUGCGGGAUGAACCGAACGCGAGGUUAAGGUGCCGGAAUGCACGCUCAUCAGACACCACAAAAGGUGUUAGUUCAUCUAGACAGCCCGACGGUGGCCAUGGAAGUCGGAAACCGCUAAGGAGUGUGUAACAACUCACGGGCCGAAUGAACUAGCCCUGAAAAUGGAUGGCGCUCAAGCGUGCUACCCAUACCUCGCCGUCGGGGUAGAAACGAUGCCCCGACGAGUAGGCAGGCGUGGGGGUCCGUGACGAAGCCUUGGGAGUGAUCCCGGGUCGAACGGCCCCUAGUG